rnacentral:rRNA from 1 species
UACCAUGCAGUCGACGGUGGACACGGAAGCUUGCUCUGUGGGAUCAGUGGCGAACGGGUGAGUAACACGUGAGCAACCUGCCCCUGACUCUGGGAUAAGCGCUGGAAACGGUGUCUAAUACUGGAUACGAGUAGCGGCCGCAUGGUCAGUUACUGGAAAGAAUUUCGGUUGGGGAUGGGCUCGCGGCCUAUCAGCUUGUUGGUGAGGUAAUGGCUCACCAAGGCGUCGACGGGUAGCCGGCCUGAGAGGGUGACCGGCCACACUGGGACUGAGACACGGCCCAGACUCCUACGGGAGGCAGCAGUGGGGAAUAUUGCACAAUGGGCGCAAGCCUGAUGCAGCAACGCCGCGUGAGGGAUGACGGCCUUCGGGUUGUAAACCUCUUUUAGCAGGGAAGAAGCGAAAGUGACGGUACCUGCAGAAAAAGCGCCGGCUAACUACGUGCCAGCAGCCGCGGUAAUACGUAGGGCGCAAGCGUUAUCCGGAAUUAUUGGGCGUAAAGAGCUCGUAGGCGGUUUGUCGCGUCUGCUGUGAAAUCCCGAGGCUCAACCUCGGGCCUGCAGUGGGUACGGGCAGACUAGAGUGCGGUAGGGGAGAUUGGAAUUCCUGGUGUAGCGGUGGAAUGCGCAGAUAUCAGGAGGAACACCGAUGGCGAAGGCAGAUCUCUGGGCCGUAACUGACGCUGAGGAGCGAAAGGGUGGGGAGCAAACAGGCUUAGAUACCCUGGUAGUCCACCCCGUAAACGUUGGGAACUAGUUGUGGGGUCCAUUCCACGGAUUCCGUGACGCAGCUAACGCAUUAAGUUCCCCGCCUGGGGAGUACGGCCGCAAGGCUAAAACUCAAAGGAAUUGACGGGGACCCGCACAAGCGGCGGAGCAUGCGGAUUAAUUCGAUGCAACGCGAAGAACCUUACCAAGGCUUGACAUAUACGAAAACGGGCCAGAAAUGGUCAACUCUUUGGACACUCGUAAACAGGUGGUGCAUGGUUGUCGUCAACU